UACAGAGGGUGCGAGCGUUAAUCGGAAUUACUGGGCGUAAAGGGUGCGUAGGCGGUUAAGUAAGUGUGAUGUGAAAGCCCCGGGCUUAACCUGGGAAGUGCAUCGCAAACUAUUUAGCUGGAGUAUAAGAGAGGGUGGCGGAAUUUCCGGUGUAGCGGUGAAAUGCGUAGAGAUCGGAAGGAACGUCGAUGGCGAAGGCAGCCACCUGGCUUAAUACUGACGCUGAGGCACGAAAGCGUGGGGAGCGAACAGG
rnacentral:rRNA from 1 species